rnacentral:rRNA from 1 species
GACGAACGCUGGCGGCGUGCUUAACACAUGCAAGUCGAACGAUGAAGAAGAGAAACGCGAACUUCGGUUCAACUUUCACUUCGGAUUAGUGGCAGACGGGUGAGUAACGCGUGAGCAACCUACCUCUUACAAAGGGAUAGCCUCGGGAAACCGUGAUUAAUACCAUAUGACACAUUCAUAAGGCAUCUUAAGAAUGUUAAAGCUACGGCGGUAAGAGAUGGGCUCGCGUCCCAUUAGCUAGUUGGUGAGGUAACGGCCCACCAAGGCGACGAUGGGUAACCGGCCUGAGAGGGUGAACGGUCACAUUGGAACUGAGACACGGUCCUAACUCCUACGGGAGGCAGCAGUGGGGAAUAUUGCACAAUGGAGGGAACUCUGAUGCAGCGACGCCGCGUGAGCGAUGAAGGAAUUCGUUUCGUAAAGCUCUGUUCUAUGGGAAGAAAAGGACUGUACCAUAGGAGAAAGCCCCGGCUAAAUACGUG